UGACACUCAACAUGGGCCUGCGCUGCUC
rnacentral:piRNA from 1 species